GGCAUGGUGGCUUAGUCGUUAGAGCACCCGCCUCAUGAACGGGAGGUCGUGGGUUCGAACCCCGGCCGAGUCA
rnacentral:tRNA from 1 species